rnacentral:lncRNA from 1 species
UUUAGGCUGACUUGCCAGUCAGAAGGGAAGGCGGGUUUUUCCGGAUGCCUUGGCGCGAAUUUCACUUAGUUGCUGAGCAGACUUGAAUGAGCCUGUGUGCUGUGCUCCUUGUCCUGCCGCUGGAUGCUGUGGAUUGUGCUCAGGCAAGCUCCGAAGGAUGAAUUGACCUAUGAUGAUGUGCAUGUGAACUUUACUCGUGAAGAAUGGGCUUUGCUGAAUCCUUCACAGAAGAGCCUCUACAAAGAUGUGAUGUUGGAGACCUACAGGAACCUCAAUGCUAUAGGCUACAAUUGGGAAGACAAUAAUAUUGAAGAACAUUGUCAAAGUUCCAGAAGACAUGGAAGGUAAUUUUCAUGUGCAAGUUGAUAUGAAUAUGCCUCAGAAGAAAUGUUAAUGUGUCCACAGGCAUGAAAGAAGACUUACUGGAGAGAAACCCUCUGAAAAUAUUCAGUGUGGUAAAGACUUUGCAAGUCACAGUUAUCCUCAAAGGCAUGAAAAAAUUCAUACUGGAGAGAAACCCUAUGAAGGUAUUCAGUAUGGUGAAGCCUUUGUACAUCAAAGUAGUCUCCAAAUAAUACAUACUGGAGAGAAACCCUACAAAUGCAAUCAAUGUGGCAAAGCCUUUGCACAACACAGUACUCUGCAAAUACAUAAAAGAACACAUACUGGAGAGAAACCCUAUGAAUGUAAUCAAUGUGGUAAAGCCUUUGCACAACACGGUAAUCUCCAAAUACAUAAAAGAACACAUACAGGAGAGAAACCCUAUGAAUGUGAUCACUGUGGUAAAGCCUUUGCAUAUCUUGGUCAUCUGCGAGUACAUAAAAGAAUACACACUGGAGAGAAACCUUAUAAAUGUGAUCAAUGUGGUAAAGCCUUUGUAGCUCAGAAUGGUCUUAAAAGACAUGAGAGAGUUCAUACUGGAGAGAAACCUUGCAAAUGUGAUCAAUGUGGUAAAGCAUUUGCAUAUCAUAGUUAUCUCCAAGUACAUAAAAGAACACAUACUGGAGAGAAACCCUAUGGAUGUAAGCAAUGUAGUAAAUCCUUUGCCUCUCAUGAUCAACUUCAAAUUCAUGAAAGAAGUCAUACUGGAGAGAAACCUUACAAAUGUAAACAAUGUGGUAAAGCAUUUGCAUAUCGUAGUACUGUCCAUGUACAUAAAAGAACACAUACUGAAGAGAAGCCCUAUGAAUGUAAGCAAUGUAGUAAAUCCUUUGCCUCUCAUGGUCAACUUCAAAGUCAUGAAAGAAUUCAUACUGGAGAGAAACCAUACAAAUGUAAUCAAUGUGGCAAAGCCUUUGCAUAUCAUAGUUAUCUCCAAGUACAUAAAAUAACACAUACCGGAGAGAAACCCUAUGAAUGUAAGCAAUGUAGUAAAUCCUUUGCCUCUUGUGGUCAACUUCAAAUUCAUGAAAGAAUUCAUACUGGAGAGAAACCUUACAAAUGUAAUCAAUGUGGCAAAGCCUUUGCAUAUCAUAAUACUCUCCAAUUACAUAAAAGAACACAUACAGGAGAGAAACCUUACAAAUGUAAUCAAUGUGAUAAAGUCUUUGCAUAUCACAGUUAUCUCCAAGUUCAUAAAAGAAUACACACUGGAGAGAAACCUUAUAAAUGUGAUCAAUGUGGUAAAGCCUUUGUAGCUCAGAAUGGUCUUAAAAGACAUGAGAGAGUUCAUACUGGAGAGAAACCUUGCAAAUGUGAUCAAUGUGGUAAAGCAUUUGCAUAUCAUAGUACUCUCCAAAUACAUAAAAGAACACAUACUGAAGAGAAACCCUAUGAAUGUAAGCAUUGUAGUAAAUCCUUUGACUCUCAUCAUGGACUUCAAAUUCAUGAAAGAAGUCAUACUGGAGAGAAACCUUACAACUGUAAUCAAUGUGGUAAAGCAUUUGCAUAUCAUAGUUAUCUCCAAGUACAUAAAAGAACACAUACUGGAGAGAAACCCCAUGAAUGUAAGCAAUGUAGUAAAUCCUUUGCCUCUCAUGGUCAACUUCAAAGUCAUGAAAGAAUUCAUACUGGAGAGAAACCUUACAAAUGUAAUGAAUAUGGUAAAGCCUUUGCACACCAUCAUAAUCUUUGAGAGCAUAAAAGAAUACAUACUGGAGGGAAACCCUAUUGAUGUAAGCAAUGUAGUAAAUCCUUUGCCUCUCAUGGUCAAAUUUGAAAACAUAAAAGAAUUUCAUACUGGAGAGAAACCUUACACAUGUAGAUAAUAUGGUAAAGCCUAUUCAUAAUACAUAAAAGAACACUAAAGAGUAACCCUAUGAAUAUAACCAAUGUGGUAAAAGCCUUUUCAGUGAUCUUGAAAGGUGUGAAUAUACUUGGUCCAUGGCAAGUGGUUGUAUUAGGAAGUAUGGCAUUUCUGGAGUAGAUGUGGCAUUUGAGAAAGUAUGUCACAGUGGGGGUGGACUUUGUGAUUCUAUGCUUAAGUUCCACCCAGGGCAGAAGAGUCUUCUGGUCGCCUUCUGUUCAAGAUGUAGAACUCUUGUCUCAUCCAGCACCAUGUAUGCUUGGACAUUGCCACUUUUUCAGCCUUGAUGAUAUCAGACUGAACCUCUGAAUCUGUACACUACCCCCAAUUAAAUGUCCUUUAUGAGAGUUGCCUUGGUCAUAGUAUCUUUUCACAGCAAUGAAAUCCAAAUUAAGACAAACAGCAUAAAAGAUACCAUACUGGAGAGAAACUGACAAGCAGAUAGUUCUCUGCAUAUUUGAUAACAGAAAUAACAUGUUUUAAGUAGUCUCUUCUUCCUUCUCCUCUUCUCUCCUUCCAUUUUUCCUCGUCUAUAUUCCUCUACAUUUCCUUUUUCUUUCUGCUUCUUUUUUUCCCCAUGAGGACAGUGAUGUAUUAAGAUAGACUCUCUCGGAUGGAGCUCCUGGGGGAGCCAUCUUGGGUCCCGGAUCCCUCAGAGACUAGUCUGCACAGGUGAGAGUGCAGACUAUAGAAGCGACACAGCUUCUGGGACAGGCCUUGUUUUGGGCCUUCAUCUUCAGCUAGGAGGCAGGUCCAAACUCCAGAUAUCUGUACACCUUCCCUGCAAGAGGAGAGCUUCCCUGCAGAGAGUACUCUGACCACUGAGACUCAGGAGAGAGCUGGACUCCCAGGUCUGCUGACAGAGGCUAACAGACUCACAGGAGGAACAAGCUCCAACCAGAGACAACUAUAACGACUAACUCCAGAGAUUACCAGAUGGCAAAAGGCA